UUUGAUAACUAUUUACACCACUGGGUCGAUGCCACUGCUGGUGGACGUUUCGUCCCCGAGGGUAUCACCAGCCCAGUAGUCAACACUUCGGUGUUGACAUGAAUAUCAAUAAUGUGGUCAUUUUAAUAAAUUUCCUGUUACAAAACUUUGAAUUUUACGAAAAACUAAGGAUUUUCUUAUCCCAGGCAUAGAUUACCUUAGCCGUAUUUGGCACAACUUUUUGGAAUUUUGGAUCCUCAAUGCUCUUUCAACUUUGUACUUGUUUGGCUU
rnacentral:lncRNA from 1 species